rnacentral:misc_RNA from 1 species
CAGCCAAAUAGGAUCCAAUCGACAUUUAGUUUAUGAAUAUGCAAAAUUUUAUGGACCUUAUAGCAUGGUUCAAAUAUAAUGAUUACCAUACAAAUAUAUUACCACACAUAAAACUAGGUAAACAUAUGCUAAUUCCACUGAUUCCCAAGUCCUCUCGCAUUGUACAAACUAAAUUGGUUAGAGAUAAACCAAAUGUCAGAAAAGGAAUAGAGGAGAGAAGAGAAAGAAGGGGUGGGGGUGUGUGGUGGUGACGGAGGGGAAUGGUGGGGUGGGGUUGUGUCUCUCUUCACUGAAUGAAAGCUGGACCAAGUAUGUGGCUAGGUUACCAUUUCAAAUUAAUGGCUAGGUCCAGCAGAGCCUCUACUUGCCUUAUCGUUUGUUGCUUCUCUUGUUGCUUGAGUUUGAUUGCAACAGAUUCAGGAUCAAACCCUUCUACAUUAUGUGCUUCACUUUCCUCUUGCCGAACUUCCUGGAGCAAAGAAUCAACUUCCCUGACAAAAUCUACCCUCAAAAGAACAUCAUCUGCUUCUAGUGGUGGUCGCAACGGCCCUUGAUGCUUAUCAACAUCAAACCCUGCUGGAACAAGAAUGCUAAAUGGAUCCUCUCGUGGAAAGGUAUUAAUCAUGCAUUUUUUGCAUUCUUUCAGCCAGCCUUCAUCGUCAAACCCAUCAUGCAUAUUCAAAAGAUCGUUCAACAGUCUCAUAGAAGGUGUGGCCUCCAUUUUCAAAAUCUCCAUCUCAACCCUUCUGUAUAAAAGAUCAAGACUUCUAAUAGCAUCCUUUUCAUCAUCACGUCGAGCAAGAUCAAGCCGAUUCCAUAUGACCAUUAGAACAAGUUCAUUCAGUUCUCCUUUCUCAGCAGCUUCCUCAAUUUUCUCUUCCACUUCUUCAGCAGCUCUGAUAAAGCUUGAAACCAGUUUUCUUGCUUUUAUUACAUCUUCUUGUGGAUAUCCCUUCAAGCGCAAGCCAAUUUCACGAUACUCUGCAAUCUUUCUUUCCUCUUCUUCAUCUUCCAGCUGACGCAGCCGCUCCAACUCCUUACACUUUUCCCGUUGUUGAGCUUGCCAUUCAUCAUCGUAAUACUCCUUUGGCAUUCCUUCAAGAAGUGGCUCUUCUUUGCCCAUGCUCCUUCUCAAAACUGCUCAUUGAAAGAAGCCCAUCAAAUGAAACCGUCAAAAGAGUCUGUUCUGUGUGUGCAGGUGUGUGGAAGCAGGGAUUUCACCUGAGCCGACUGGCCUUGGAGAGUUAAAGCGAAGGGUACGGACAGGAGCAUGCAAGGAGGAGGGCGAUGGCAAAGGGCCUGCGCACGUUAACGGGAACACAUUUGCCUCCAUUUCUUAUCGUCCGAGUGGAGAGUACACCCCAGUGAGGUGAAGACUUAAGAGAG